rnacentral:rRNA from 1 species
CAGCAGCCACGGUAAUACGUAGGUGGCAAGCGUUGUCCGGAAUUAUUGGGCGUAAAGCGCGCGCAGGCGGAUCAGUUAGUCUGUCUUAAAAGUUCGGGGCUUAACCCCGUGAUGGGAUGGAAACUGCUGAUCUAGAGUAUCAGAGAGGAAAGUGGAAUUCCUAGUGUAGCGGUGAAAUGCGUAGAUAUUAGGAAGAACACCAGUGGCGAAGGCGACUUUCUGGACGAAAACUGACGCUGAGGCGCGAAAGCCAGGGGAGCGAACGGGAUUAGAUACCCGUGUAGUCCCUGUCUCUUAUACA